rnacentral:rRNA from 1 species
CAGUCGCCACGGGAAUACGUAGGGUGCAAGCGUUAAUCGGAAUUACUGGGCGUAAAGCGUGCGCAGGCGGUUCGUUAAGACAGAUGUGAAAUCCCCGGGCUUAACCUGGGAACUGCAUUUGUGACUGGCGGGCUAGAGUAUGGCAGAGGGGGGUAGAAUUCCACGUGUAGCAGUGAAAUGCGUAGAGAUGUGGAGGAAUACCGAUGGCGAAGGCAGCCCCCUGGGCCAAUACUGACGCUCAUGCACGAAAGCGUGGGGAGCAAACAGGAUUAGAUACCCCUGUAGUCCCUGUCUCUUAUAC